rnacentral:piRNA from 1 species
UUUUAAAUUGGGACUAUGUAAUUGGGAGC